CUUUUGAAUGAUUCUUCCGCUCUGUCAGGGGUGUAUUGUGCUCUUAGACCUUGUUUUUUCUUUACUUCUACUGCAGUUCCUCUUCCCCUGUAAGUUUCCACAAAGUUCAACGUUCUGCUAGAGUCUGUGUGCUUCAACUCCACUCCAUCUGAUGGAGGUGAUUCCAAUAUGCUGCCAACGUUGAUCACUGCUGUAGUAGAGAUUCUCUCAUAACAAGUGGAAAGAAACAUAAAGGCAACAUCUGGUGUGCUGGAAAGAAUGCUGAAGAGAACCUGGAUCUAAGCUCCAAUUCUACGUACAAGCUGCCUGACAUUAGGCAGUGAUCCGGCUGCCUGCUCCAGUGUAAAAACUACCCCCAAAAUCAGUAAAGUAAAACAACAACCAUCUCAUUAUGCUCAGAAAUCCCAUGGUUAGGAAUUCAAAUAGUUCACUGUAGGCAUGGCUUGUCUCUGCUCCAGAAUAUCUGAGGUCUUGGUUGGGAAAACUUAAAUAGCUGGGACUGGAAUCAUCUAGAGGCUUCUUCACUUACUUGUUGGCUACCUGGGCUGGGGCUCAACUGUGAGAACCCUGGGCUGUGUACUGGUUCCUCAAUGGCGUGGGCUUCUUUAUGGCAUGGCAGCCUCAGGAUAACUGGACUUUCUACACGGCAGCUCAGGGCUUCAAAAGCACAAUCAUGGCUCACUGCAACUUCAACCUCCCAGGCUCAAGUGAUCCUCCCAUUUCAGCCUCCUAAGAUGCUGGGACCACAGGCGCACACCACCACACCCAGAGAUACUUCAUAAAGUACCAGCUAAAGAUGCAUGAUGAAGACUAUGAAAUGCCUGAUGUCUGCGGUGAGCUUUAAAAUACCCCAGCAAGAAUAAUAGAUGAAUAAGUAUGCACAAGAUAAAUGAAAGAAGAAUGGCAGAAUUGUGACAAUUGUUGAAGCGAGGUGAUGAUACAUGGGGGUUAUCAUUUUCUUCCCCCUACUGUUCUGAGUGUUUGAAAAAUUUCAAAAUAAAAUGUUU
rnacentral:lncRNA from 1 species